GACCAGACUCCUACGGGAGGCAGCAGUGGGGGAUAUUGCACAAUGGGGGGAACCCUGAUGCAGCGACGCCGCGUGGGUGAAGGAGUGCUUCGGCAUGUAAAGCCCUAUCGGCAGGGAAGAAGCAAGACGGUACCUGACUAAGAAGCCCCGGCUAACUACGUGCCAGCAGCCGCGGUAAUACGUAGGGGGCGAGCGUUAUCCGGUUUCACUGGGUGUAAAGGGAGCGUAGACGGCCAUGCAAGCCAGGGGUGAAAGCCCGGGGCCCAACCCCGGGACUGCUCUUGGAACUGCGCGGCUGGAGUGCAGGAGGGGCAGGCGGAAUUCCUGGUGUAGCGGUGAAAUGCGUAGAUAUCAGGAGGAACACCGGUGGCGAAGGCGGCUUACUGGACGGCAACUGACGCUGAGGCUCGAAAGCGUGGGGAGCAAACAGGAUUAGAUACCCCAGUU
rnacentral:rRNA from 1 species